rnacentral:rRNA from 1 species
GCAAGUCGAACGCCCUCUUCGGAGGGAGUGGCAGACGGGUGAGUAACGCGUGGGAAUCUACCCAGUACUUCGGGAUAACAGUUAGAAAUGACUGCUAAUACCGGAUACGCCCUAUGGGGGAAAGAUUUAUCGGUAUUGGAUGAGCCCGCGUUUGAUUAGCUAGUUGGUGAGGUAAUGGCUCACCAAGGCGACGAUCAGUAUCUGGUUUGAGAGGACGAUC